AUGAGGGGCAGGUGGUGGUGGUGGUGGUGGGGGGUUGUUGGGGAGCGGUCUCUACUUAUAGAUGUGGGUGACAUCAUUUUUUUUUAUCUUUGCUUUCUGCAAGUCAACAAGAUCUCUGUCAUCCAAAGACAUCCAUACUUAGACCCUGUCUGAGGUCCUACAGUGGGGCCACAUUCUGGGACCCUGCCUGAGGUCCUAGAGUGGGGCCACAUUCUCAGACCCCGCCUGAGGUCCUAGAGUGGGGCCACAUUCUGGGACCCCACAUUAUAACCUGGCCCACAGACACUGUCCAACAUAAACGGAUCCGGCUCCCAAGAGCCCAAAAAUAGGCAAAACAACAUUUUCUGGUGUGAAGGGAAUGUGGAGUGAAAGGCUGUGUUAACAGGAAACAGCUGAGACAUCUGUCCAGCACAUCUGGGACAGGAUUGUUCCUCAGUGUGGGGAGAUGUGGACGCUCUGAGGUGCGACUGCUCCGUACCUGUUGAUUACAACCAAAGCAGCUCCCCUUUCCCAGGAAGAGGAAGAGAUCGUUGGUCUGAGCACCCCCCCACCCCACCCCCACCCCCCCGACACUCCCAGAUGCCAGAGGACAUGUUUUCUAUUCACCGACCGGGUUAGCGUAACUUUUCUUCCGCCCCAUUUGCAAAGUUUGGCUCGCUGACAGCAUCCGACCUAUUGUCUGGUUUGAGCUGGAAUAUUUUCCGAAGUACCGAACUCUUGAAUAUAGCCGAUGACCACACGAUGAAUCUGGGAAUUUUACUGCUGUUGCAUCACAAAUCUUUCCACAUCAGUGGAAGUUCCCUCCUGCAAACUCUUGUUUGUUUUGACUGACGCGGCCUCCUGAGGCCCGCUAACACGCUGGAUUCUGAACCUAGAACCUCCAGCGUUACUCCCUUUGAGUCCACAAUCAUGGAGCCUCUACCUGUGUGGAAUCAGAGCGAGGCUGAAGGUGCUGAAGGUUCAGGGCCACAUUCCUGCUCUUCUGGCCUACAGCCUUCAGGAUUCUGCCUUUUAAGAUGCAGCUGUCUGGGGAUUGUGACAUUAUGCCUGACGGACGACAGGAACACGGACAAUCAAUUAUCUAAACAGCUUCUCCAAGCACCUUUUGAAAGGCCAGAGCAAAUCCUCCUCCAUCCAACUGAGAUUCGGACACAUUUGUGGCAGAGAGGAGCAGAUAAGCCCUCCUCUGGGAUGGUGGCUCCUCCUCAGGCCCCCAGCCUCCUCCCCAUAACCCUGUUUCAUCGCUGGGAUGCAUUAACAGAUGACACGCUCAAAUGGUUCUUGAACUUUACAAGGUGACACUUGAGGGGCAGAAAGAUGUUUGCUGCGCCCGCAGCUCCGUCACCAGCUGGGAACCAAAUCCAGGAAAAACAAACGAUGUUGACGGACAAAUGUCAGCCUCCGUAAUAAGCCGACGCUCUUCCAGCUGAUUUAGCACCGAGCUUUUUUCCACUGAAGCACCUGUGCUUCACCUCACUGAGGCCAACCCUCGUCUGGCUGCUGCCAUAACAGUAUCCAGCGCUCCAGAUCCAGCACCAAGCACUUUUCACCUCCUCUCCUCCUUUUGCCUCUGGCCAAAAGGAGAGACAUGAUGCUAAAAGCCCAGGCUGGUCUGAACCCUCCUGUAACGGCAGCAGCACAGAGCAGAGGCCGACCGCCGUCUCUUUCUACUUUUAACUUUUAUCAAGCUGGACUUGUGAUCAUGGUGAAGCUGCUCACAAACAUGUGUGAAGCCAGUAAAUAAUUAAAGCCUUUUUAAAAACCCAGACCCGACAGGACGAUU
rnacentral:lncRNA from 1 species